AAUAGCAGAAAGCCAUUUGGACUGAGAGUGGGGGAGUUGGCUUCCGGCCAUGCUCUGCCACUUUUUUCUGUGACCUUGGGAAAAGCAUCUCAAGUCUCAAUGCCCAGUUUGUGAAGAAAAACGAUAGAACAAAGUGCAUUUUCUGUGCAUUUUCUCCCUACUCCGAAAUUGAUGUCUCUGAGUUACGAGAACUGGAGUUUCCCAAAGCCCAGGAACUUUUGUUUUUCUUCACCAUUCUUGAUGAGAAUAAUUACAGUGAACUUUCCAGUGCAUUUUUUUUUUUUUAAAGGAAAAAAGGCGUCUUUUCUCUCCUCUUCGAGCAUCAUCAAGAUUUACUCUGCCCUCUAAUAGUUGCCUGGGUCGAAUUUUCCAACUUGACACAAAGCCGCUUGACAUGGUUGCAACUAAUCCCUUCUCUGUGUACCCCUAAAUUAACCAGAGGAACUGGAAGAGUCAGACUGUGUGUGGGAAGACUGGAAAAUAAGGAAGGUAUAGAAACCACUGGAGAUAAACAUUCUGGCAAAUUAUCUUGGUGUAUGGCUGAUGCGGAAUGGUUAGGCAGUUGGGAAGGUAGAUAAGAGAAAGGCUCUAAAUGCUUCAUCUAAUUGUAAACAGCUGUUGAUUGGUGGAGCCUGACCAACUGUUUUUAAUUCCACUCAGUGUUGAUGAAGAGAAUAAGACUUAAAGGAAAAUGGCAAGGGCCGGGUGUGUGCAUGAAGUUGUGCUUGCGCCUUUUUUUUUUUUUUUUUUUUAGCAGUCAUAGAGUGCAGUCAAAGGUGCUUUUUGAAAUCAUGGCAGGCUUUCAGGAUCAUGAUUUUCUUAAAUUUUACCAGCAUUUGUUGGGCCUUUGGCUGUAGGCGGACUUCUCUGUUAUCCACAGUCUGGAGUGAUUUUUCAUGGGGAGUGAUUCAUCUCCAAUGGUCUCUUGAUGUCAGAAAGAUGGGUCACUUCUCGGGUCCAGUUGUUGGAUGGAACGUCCAUGACCACAGCUGUGCCCAGGGAUUCUGAUAGACUCCUUAAGAGGCAGCAGGCAUGUUUAACAAGAAGAUGUCUCUAUUUUGCUGUGCCUCUGACCCUCAGGCUGCCUGCAGACAGAUGGUCUCAGACAGAUGUGCGCUUUGCAAUUGUUGGAGCCCAUUUGUAUGAAAAGAGAUCUGAAUUCUAGGACUUUCCAAGAGCCAGUUUUACAGCCAAGUAAUUUUACCAAGGACCAGGGGAAACUAGUCAUUCUGACUUUCACCAUUCUGACCAGAGCAUCGACUACUGAAUUAUCAAUUUCACAUAAGAACUGAAUUUUUCCAGGCUUGAUCUAGCACCCUGAUAAAAUCAAUCUAUCCUGCCUUUAUCCAGACUCUGACUGCCAGAAAAUUUAGGAAGAUUUUGCAAUGGGAAUCUAGAACGGAUCCUUUCUAUCUCUGGAGACUAGUCAGGUAUUUUCUCUAGUAGCUACUCAUAGUCCUCCCCAAAUAUUAAAUGAAUUAACGUGCUCCCAUAAUCACUGUGGAAUAAUUUACCUCUAUUAAAUCUCCACCGGAGUUAGUAGAUGGAGUUGAAAUCCUACUCUAUCAAAUAGUUAUAGCAAACAAAAGCAAAAUGAACCAAACAAAAACCCCCAGCAGCAAUUACACAAAUCCAGAUUUCAAUGAAGUAUAAAUCUGAUCUUUUACUUUAUAAACAGGUUACAGGUUUGAUUAUUCAUAUUUAAUAUCCAAGCUGUGCUUUCUUUGGUUCCAAACCACCAGGAAAAACAUAUACUGCUUAUUUCAUAAGAUAAAUUCUUUGUAUACAAUAUCUCACUAUUUGUAACUGUAUCUAUUACUAUAAAAUAUAAAAGUAGGUAUACUUCUUAUUUGGCAGAUGGGAAAAUACAGUUUCACUGAAGAAUAUAGCCAGUCAGGCAGAGUUUGAGGAUUAGAAUUAGUUUCCCAUUUUUCCUAGUCCUGACAUGAACUAUAAAAAAACAUGGAAUUGGAUUUCUUUUUUCACUUUGUCUACCAAGAAUUUCAUCUGGAGCUUGAUUUGCAUAAUUGUGAGAGCUUCAGCUGGCAAUUACGCUUUCCCUAUUCCUUUUGCCUCGACAUUCUAUUCUUAUAUGUAUUAUUUUUGCCUCUGAAUUUCUAAGAUGAUUUAUAUGUAAAAGUUUUGGUUCGGGGGUUGCUUUUAAGUCAUUUCAACUCUGCUGGGUGAUUCUAAAGGGAAGAGAAGGAAGAGAAUACGCUGUGAGGAAAAUGAAGGUAAGAGAGGGGAGAGGAAUGGAAGAGAGCUGGGGAAGUGGAGUUCACGUGAAGAUUUUAUCUUCAAGGAGGAUUUUCCGGUUUUUGGUUAGGAAUUGGCUGUGGUCCAGCAUGGCUUUGGAACAACUUCUCUCCCUCCUCCUCUUCUCUCUUCUCUCCCCUUCUCUUGCCUUUCCUCCUUCAAAUCCAGCAGAGGCAGACCGUCAGCAUGGCUGCUCACUAUUAUCAUUAGAGUAUCUAUUCUCCCUUAUUUGGCAGGAGGAGAAUCCCUCAGAGGCCCAAAGAGCAAUGUAUUGUUCACACGAUUCAAUGACCAAGGGAGCCCUUGGUGAAGGAGGAAGGAAACUUGCUGUGUCAGAACUCUUGGUUCUACUAGUGCUGGGAAUAUUUCUUGCCUUUUCUUUUUGGGGUUUGGGUCUGUCAUUCCUCAUCUGCCCUCACACGUCACGUACACAUGAAUCUGUGUCAUCCAGUGCAGUCUGCAUGGCACCUCCCCCCCGCCCCCCCCCCAAGAAGCCAGCUGAACUUAUUGCUCUUGUCACUCCUGCGUUUGUUACUCUGCAGGCCAGCUGGAUUGUCAGACUUGCCCAUGAAGCAUGUCAGUUUCUUGCCUGUGAGUACAUUAACCCCAUCUGAAAAAAAAAGUGCUUCAAGAGUUGAUUACCAAGGAUCUGCUUAUUCAAUAACUCAACAAGGGAAAAGUAAAUGGCUUUAAAAUGUGAUGUUAUCAAAGGGUCUAAUCAUGCUUAUUACUUGCCGCUACUACAUGAUCAGCUCCUCUUUCUUUCUUUCUUUCUUUUUUUUUUUUUUUUGCUAAAGUUGAUGACACUAAAUGCAUCUGUAAUCAAUCCAUUUUUUUAUCAUUUUCUUUAAAGCUUUAAAAAAUAAGUCAAAUGAAAAACGUGAUACCCUUUGCAAUUGCAUUGUACUAUCACAGCUUAAGCUCUAUGGGGAGAACCUUCCUUCUCCAACUUUUGCAACACUUAAUUGUUCUUAUCUGUCACAUUUGACCCAAAGACACUCCUGCCACCCCCACAAUAUAACAGUCGAAAGAGAAGAUUAACAUUAUUGUUAUCUUAAGUCCAUUGCAAUGACCUCCUGGUUUCUACAUAGGAACUCACCUUGCAGACUUUCUACCCUGCCCUGCUUACC